GGAUAGGACAGAGAGAAAUGGAGAGAGGAGGGAAAGACAGAGAGGGGGAGAGAAAGACACCUGCAGACCUGCUUCACCACUUGUAAAGGGAUGACUCCCCUGCAGGUGGGGAGCCAGGGGCUCCAGCUGGGAUCCUUGCCUGGUCCUUGCGGUUUGCACUAUGCGCACUUAAUCUGGUGCACUACUGCCCGGCCCCUAAAUACAUAAUUUUUUUCUUGAACUCUUUUUUAAAAAAUAUUAUUUUAUUUAUUGUUGAAUAAAGACAGAAAUUGAGAGGGGAAGUGGAGAUAGAGGAGAAAGACAGAGAGACACCUGCAGCUCUCCUUCACUUGAGCUUUCCCCUUACAGGUGGGGACCAGGAGUUUGAACCUGGGUCCUUAAGCACUGUUAUGUGUGUGCUUAAUCAGGUGCGCCACCACCUGGUCCCCAAAUACAUAAUUUUUAAGUGCAGGGUUAAGACAUUCAAUAUAGGGCAAGGAAAUAGCAUUAUGGUUAUACAAAGACUCUCAUGCCUGAGGCUCUGAAGCCCCAAAUUCAGUCCCCCUGCACCACCAUAACCUGGAGCUGAUCAGAGAACUAGA